rnacentral:rRNA from 1 species
UUCGGGCUUCGACCGGCGUACGGGUGCGUAACGCGUAUACAAUCUGCCUUUCACAUAGGGAUAGCCCGAAGAAAUUUGGAUUAAUACCUAAUGGUAUAUAGGGGUGGCAUCACCUUUAUAUUAAAGCUGAGGCGGUGAAAGAUGAGUAUGCGUUCUAUUAGCUAGUUGGAGAGGUAACGGCUCCCCAAGGCUACGAUAGAUAGGGGUUCUGAGAGGGAUAUCCCCCACACUGGUACGUGAGAUACGGACCAGACUCCUACGGGAGGCAGCAGUGAGGAAUAUUGGACAAUGGUCGGAAGACUGAUCCAGCCAUGCCGCGUGCAGGAAGACGGCCUUAUGGGUUGUAAACUGCUUUUGCAGGGGAAGAAUAAGGACUACGCGUAGUUUGAUGACGGUACUCUGCGGAUAAGCAUCGGCUAACUCCGUGCCAGCAGCCGCGGUAAUACGGAGGAUGCGAGCGUUAUCCGGAAUCAUUGGGUUUAAAGGGUCCGUAGGCGGGCUAAUAAGUCAGAGGUGAAAGCGCUCAGCUCAACUGAGCAACUGCCUUUGAAACUGUUAGUCUUGAAUGGUUGUGAAGUAGUUGGAAUGUGUAGUGUAGCGGUGAAAUGCUUAGAUAUUACACAGAACACCGAUAGCGAAGGCAUAUUACUAACAAUUAAUUGACGCUGAUGGACGAAAGCGUGGGGAGCGAACAGGAUUAGAUACCCUGGUAGUCCACGCUGUAAACGAUGGAUACUAGCUGUUUGGUUGUUAAGACUGAGU